rnacentral:tRNA from 4 species
CGGAUAGAAAACAAAUUGGCCUGUUGCUUACUUUGGGAGUAAGAUCUUGUUCGUUCGAAUCGAACCUGUCCGA